rnacentral:rRNA from 1 species
AGAGUUUGAUCCUGGCUCAGGAUGAACGCUAGCUACAGGCUUAACACAUGCAAGUCGAGGGGCAGCAUGGUCUUAGCUUGCUAAGACUGAUGGCGACCGGCGCACGGGUGAGUAACACGUAUCCAACCUGCCGUCUACUCUUGGACAGCCUUCUGAAAGGAAGAUUAAUACAAGAUGGCAUCAUGAGUCCGCAUGUUCACAUGAUUAAAGGUAUUCCGGUAGACGAUGGGGAUGCGUUCCAUUAGAUAGUAGGCGGGGUAACGGCCCACCUAGUCUUCGAUGGAUAGGGGUUCUGAGAGGAAGGUCCCCCACAUUGGAACUGAGACACGGUCCAAACUCCUACGGGAGGCAGCAGUGAGGAAUAUUGGUCAAUGGGCGAGAGCCUGAACCAGCCGAGUAGCGUGAAGGAUGACUGCCCUAUGGGUUGUAAACUUCUUUUAUAAAGGAAUAAAGUCGGGUAUGCAUACCCGUUUGCAUGUACUUUAUGAAUAAGGAUCGGCUAACUCCGUGCCAGCAGCCGCGGUAAUACGGAGGAUCCGAGCGUUAUCCGGAUUUAUUGGGUUUAAAGGGAGCGUAGAUGGAUGUUUAAGUCAGUUGUGAAAGUUUGCGGCUCAACCGUAAAAUUGCAGUUGAUACUGGAUAUCUUGAGUGCAGUUGAGGCAGGCGGAAUUCGUGGUGUAGCGGUGAAAUGCUUAGAUAUCACGAAGAACUCCGAUUGCGAAGGCAGCCUGCUAAGCUGCAACUGACAUUGAGGCUCGAAAGUGUGGGUAUCAAACAGGAUUAGAUACCCUGGUAGUCCACACGGUAAACGAUGAAUACUCGCUGUUUGCGAUAUACGGCAAGCGGCCAAGCGAAAGCAUUAAGUAUUCCACCUGGGGAGUACGCCGGCAACGGUGAAACUCAAAGGAAUUGACGGGGGCCCGCACAAGCGGAGGAACAUGUGGUUUAAUUCGAUGAUACGCGAGGAACCUUACCCGGGCUUAAAUUGCAGAUGAAUUACGGUGAAAGCCGUAAGCCGCAAGGCAUCUGUGAAGGUGCUGCAUGGUUGUCGUCAGCUCGUGCCGUGAGGUGUCGGCUUAAGUGCCAUAACGAGCGCAACCCUUGUUGUCAGUUACUAACAGGUUCUGCUGAGGACUCUGACAAGACUGCCAUCGUAAGAUGUGAGGAAGGUGGGGAUGACGUCAAAUCAGCACGGCCCUUACGUCCGGGGCUACACACGUGUUACAAUGGGGGGUACAGAGGGCCGCUACCACGCGAGUGGAUGCCAAUCCCCAAAACCUCUCUCAGUUCGGACUGGAGUCUGCAACCCGACUCCACGAAGCUGGAUUCGCUAGUAAUCGCGCAUCAGCCACGGCGCGGUGAAUACGUUCCCGGGCCUUGUACACACCGCCCGUCAAGCCAUGGGAGCCGGGGGUACCUGAAGUGCGUAACCGCGAGGAGCGCCCUAGGGUAAAACUGGUGACUGGGGCUAAGUCGUAACAAGGUA